AGUGAACGCUGGCGGUAGGCCUAACACAUGCAAGUCGAACGGCAGCACAGUAAGAGCUUGCUCUUACGGGUGGCGAGUGGCGGACGAGUGAGGAAUACAUCGGAAUCUACUUUUUCGUGGGGGAUAACGUAGGGAAACUUACGCUAAUACCGCAUACGACCUACGGGUGAAAGCAGGGGAUCUUCGGACCUUGCGCGAUUGAAUGAGCCGAUGUCGGAUUAGCUAGUUGGCGGGGUAAAGGCCCACCAAGGCGACGAUCCGUAGCUGGUCUGAGAGGAUGAUCAGCCACACUGGAACUGAGACACGGUCCAGACUCCUACGGGAGGCAGCAGUGGGGAAUAUUGGACAAUGGGCGCAAGCCUGAUCCAGCCAUACCGCGUGGGUGAAGAAGGCCUUCGGGUCGUAAAGCCCUUUUGUUGGGAAAGAAAAGCAGCAGGUUAAUACCCCGCUGUUCUGACGGUACCCAAAGAAUAAGCACCGGCUAACUUCGU
rnacentral:rRNA from 1 species